AUGCCAAGAUAGAUCAUCAGAGAUUUUAAUGUAGUAAGCCCUCCUCUGGUAUUUAUGUUCAUGAGUGCAAAUUUAUCAAUAUGUAUCAAACUCAGAACAUCACUGGCUCAUUCAUCCUUUCCAAUAAAAAGUGACUAAAUCAUUUAUGCCAAAAGUAGGCUUUAGUGACAUUAUCUAAUCUAGGGUGCUAGUUUGACAUAU
rnacentral:lncRNA from 1 species